CCUACGGGGAGCAGCAGUGGGGAAUAUUGGGCAAUGGGCGCAAGCCUGACCCAGCAACGCCGCGUGAAGGAAGAAGGCUUUCGGGUUGUAAACUUCUUCUGUCAGGGAAGAGUAGAAGACGGUACCUGACGAAUAAGCCACGGCUAACUACGUGCCAGCAGCCGCGGUAAUACGUAGGUGGCAAGCGUUGUCCGGAUUUACUGGGUGUAAAGGGCGUGUAGCCGGGUUGACAAGUCAGAUGUGAAAUCCUGCGGCUUAACCGCAGAACUGCAUUUGAAACUGUUGAUCUUGAGUACUGGAGAGGCAGACGGAAUUCCUAGUGUAGCGGUGAAAUGCGUAGAUAUUAGGAGGAACACCAGUGGCGAAGGCGGUCUGCUGGACAGCAACUGACGGUGAGGCGCGAAAGCGUGGGGAGCAAACAGGAUUAGAUACCCCAGUAGUC
rnacentral:rRNA from 1 species